GAGAUUGUCUACAUGUGGGCCUGGUGUGAUGGAAGCUCAUUUGAAGCCUCAGCCUGGAAGCUGGUGCAGGUUACUUAGGGUACAGGCUGAGCUUCUGAGGAGCUGUAUGCAAGGAGAGGAGAUGGUUUUCAGCCUAAAGAAUUAGAGUAAUUUGUGGUGUGACCACUGAGUAGCAUCCCAUGGACUAGGGGCAACACGUCUUCUUCCACAUUAAUUAAAGAUAAUCCAAAUGUAUGGCUUCUAGCUCCUUGCAGAGGAUGGCUUAGUAUUGCUAACACCAUGCAGUGUUUGAAGCUGAGAAGUUUCUUGAGGACAGCACAAACCAGCAUCACUGAUGAUUGGAUCUUCAAAGAGAUGCCAAGAGCUGGUGGAUUAUUCUGCAUGGCUGAUGGAAAAUUUGUGGCCAAAAUUUCUCGGAUUUGUAUGGAGAGGUGUCUGAGGAGGAAGGCCAGCCAACCUGGAACUUCAGGUAGCUGCAAAAACCACCAGCACUGGAGCAUAUCAUCCUCCUACCAGACACUGUGCUUCUGCUGUAGGACUAUUGUGAACACAUGGGUGAUGCAACCUGGAAAUCCAACAGCACUGAAGUUGUGUGGUUUGCCCCAGAGUUACCCAAACUGGAAAUCUCAUCAGCAGGAAGAGGGACUGCAGUCACUCUGGGGACCUGUGGCAAGGUGCUGGUGUGUCUGAGAAGGUGACUUAUUGGAAACACUGAAUGGACAGAAGUAGAAAUUAGUCAUGUCAGAGACCACUCGGCAGCUGGAUAGGAUUCCUUGCAUGAUUCAUCCACAAAAAUGACUGCUUUUACUGACGUUAUAUUUCCCCUCUUUAUUUAGAAUGCAGCUUAGACUGCCGUGGCUGUGGUCCGUUGUCUGGAUUGCUUUUUGAUGGCUGGGUGGUACGCAUAGCAUCCUUGUAUUCUCAUAAUUUCUAAACCACUACUUGCACCAGGGGAAAAAAAGACAACCAAAUGAAGGGCUUUGUCACUUCAGAAGACCUCAGUGGAAUGAACCUGUAAUCUUAGGAAAUCAAAGGGGAAUCUGGGGAAUGUGUCAUUUUUAGUGUCUUUAAGGGAGCAAAAAUUACGAGUGAAAAUAGCUGCCUAUAAAUUGUGUUUAUAGGGUUAAUUGACAGGAAUAUUAGAGAAGGGAAAGUCUGGAUGAAAGCCUCUGGGUCUGAGCUCUUUUUCAGGGAGAGGUCUAAAGAAAGGACCGUCACCCGAUGCAACCAAGACAUACUGGGAUGCAUGGAUCAGCUCCUGUUCCUCAGCAGAGGAAUUCAUAAGUGAUGCAGCUCUGUGGCAGUGCUGUGACCACCCGUUCUUGUGAAAUCCACUCACAUUUUUGCAGGAUUACCGAGCUGCAGAAACCAGCAGUGGAAAAGGUCUCCGUGUUCUCUCUAAGCCCACUGAUGGUGGAGUGGGACCGUUCCCAACCAUGCGGAGUUCUGUGCAGACCCAUCUGAUCUGAUUCAUGCUGUCGGAUGUCUCACAGCUUCCUUUGGGAACUCUAAUUGACCUUCUGUAACUAAGGAGGCCUUAAUAUACAGAUUUUCUUUUUACCAUAGACUGAAUUUUAUGCCACUUAAUUUCCAUUCUCAUUCAAGCCAUAAACUCCACCUGCUAGGUGCUGCACCCUCCCAUAGACACAAGCAGCACACUCAGGUAGCAUGGGCUGCAAGAAUUAUGUCAGCUUUUGCCACUGUAGAGCUCAGGAACUGCUGUGAUGAAAAGGAACCACCAGCUUUACUCGUGGCUGCAGAGUGGAUACCCAUAAACGUGGAUGUCAUAUUUGCAAAAGUAAUUCCACAUCCUAUGGGUUAAGACUUACAACUUCCAGUUUCUUAUUCAGCUUAUAUCCCAAGAUUUCCAGCAUUUUGUUUCAGGUUUGAGACGUCCCUGGGAAGAAUUCCAGCUCAUCUCUGAUGAAGCAAGAGGGCAUCUUGAAGAAUGUAAUUAGCUAAUUGUGCUAGGGGAAAAUGAAAUGCAGACCUUUUUCUUGGUACAACACAAAGAUUGUUUAUACCUAGAAGCCACCAAAGCUGAUCUUUAGCAAUAACAAAUAACUGUGCAUGGAAUAUUUGGCAAAACCAGAAUGAUGAUCAAAGAGGCUGGUAACAAGAAUGACUGGUGGAUGUGAUCACAUCUGUCCAGAUCAUUAUUUUGGGGAAUGUAAGGUAACGGGGAGGUGGGAUGCCUCAUUUCUGGAAAAUGAGCUACCCCAGCAGAGCUGCUCAUCAGCAUUCCUGGAAUAGCAGUGAGAAACAUGACAACUUCUGGGGAAAAAUAAGUCCCAGUGACCGCUGUUAAUGUGCAAAAAGAGGCGAUGCAUGGAUUGCAAGCUGUCAUCUGCUCGUUUGUGUCCUGUCCAUCCCCUUUCAUCCCUGGGGAGAAUGCUGAAAGCAAUUCUGGUGGAGGCACUUGGAAAUAAACACCAGUGGUCUAGAUGGAAAUACUCCUAGUGGCGCACAAGGCUGACCCUGGAGGCCACUGGGAAUUGAGGACCUGCACACAAGCCUUGUGGCUAGGGCUCACCUCUAAUCUUCAGCCAUGAUUAUGAUGGACAAACUAGAGCUCAAAGCUGACUUUCGUAGCCUGUACUCAGCAAAGCCUGUGUUAGGGUCACCAGAGUUUGAGGAACAAAGGAAUACCUCCAUUUUUUUGGCCCUUGUGAAGAUCAUAGGGUAAGUUCCAGGUCCUCAUGCCUUAACAUAAAGCCUUCUGCAGCACCAAGGGUCAUCUGUAUGAAGUUUAGACAGAUGAUAGAGGAUUUAGCCUGGGCCAUCGGCCAUAGAUCACAGGGCAUGGAGAAAUGAGACAUGGGAUAAGGAGAGGGAAGAGCAGCUCUCCUGUCCCUCUCUCAGGCUGACGUUGGAUGCAGAGAGGAGCCUGAUGUGGGGUGAACUGAGUUCAUCCUCUGCAGGCACUGUGGUGUGAUUUCUGUCCCUGUGCUUAAUAUCAAUGCUGUUCAAACACAAGGCUUGGAGUUGCUCACACUGAACUGAAGGGAAGGCAGCAAUGCUGGAAAAAGAGGAGGAGUGGAAAGUCUGUUCACUUCAUAAUGCUAUUUCCUCUCUUAAACAAGCCUCUUUGACUAUGAAACACUUAAAUGCACAAAAAACAAGCCCCACCUCGUGCUGGCUGCUCGCUGUCCUGAUGGGGUUUGUCCUGGUGCCACCUCAUGGCAAAAAUCAGAUCUGAAUUUCCAACAGAAUGGCUGAAGUACGGGCUGCCCAGCUCCCAGCCUUGCAAAGCCAAAGCAGGCGUUUAAUGCUGGAGUGGUGCUAUUUUUAUUCUUGUUUUGCAGCUUGGCUUUCUGGGAGGGAAAAAUCUUAACUAGGAGAAGUAU